CCCUCCUUCUCUUCUCCUUCCCUUUCUCUUUUUCCUCCUUCCCUCCCCUUUUCCCUCUCUCUUCUUCUUCCUUCCACCCUACCCCUUCUUCUCGUCUUCACCCCGACCCCUUCACUCGGAACCACCCGACUUGACCACAUCAGGAGCCCUCUGGCUAGCAUGUGCGCGCUGGAGUAGAGCCAGUAGUCGGUACCGAUGGCGAUGGCCAUGAGGGAAAAGGCGGCGAAGGCUCCAGCCGUGGUCAGCAGCAUCUGAAGCCCGCGGUCGCAUCGCACCAUGGGGUAGCUCAUGGGCUGCAAAGAGGUCCUCAUAAUUUAUAUAGGACAGAGGAGUAGAUCGGUGGAAUAGAGCCAGAACUAGGGGACGGCAGAACAGGCAUUCCUUUAAGGCCCAACGUGCAGAAGGGUGGGUCACAACGUUUUAACAAUGCUUAAAAAAAAAAAAGAAGAAGAAGAAGAAGAAGAUAAAUGCAUCUAUUUUCAAUGACGGAAAACUCAGCUGUCAUUGGAACUGUAAGGUUUUAUUGUGUGUGUGCUAAAUAGAAAGAACUCUGGGAUUUGAAAACAGACUCAAAAGCUGGUCUGAUAAUUAUGUGAUCUUGGACAAGUCAUUUCAAAAGUCUGGACCUGUUUCCUAAUGUGUAAAAAAGAGGAGGGGGAACUUGCCAGAGACCAUGUUCUUAAGGACAUGUCAGAGACCAUGUCCUUGAAGACUGCCAGAGACCAUGUCCUUGGAGACAGGAGACAAAGAGCUAAGAAGAACGUGAUUAUGAGUAGCAAACACCCUAACUUCCUGAGAUUAGAUAAUGUGUGUCCCAAGAAAUCGGUCAUCUCCACCCAGGAUCUAGAUAACAGUAUACCCCAGGAUUUCUGCCACACCUAUGGUCCGACAUUCUUCUCAUUGCAACCCCCACUCAGAAAUCAUAUUUAAUUAAACCCUCUUCAUUCAUUAAACUGAGACAUUGCUCCAUCUCAACUUGUCUCCCUCCUCAUUUCUAACCCCAUCCCUUUUCAGGCAAUAGCCUCACAGACAGAUAUCCAGCCUCAGGACCCACACUUUGAUGACCUGCUGGACGGGUCAGG